UGCGCAGGCGGUUUUGUAAGUCAGAUGUGAAAUCCCCGAGCUCAACUUGGGAACUGCGUUUGAAACUACAAGGCUAGAGUAUGGUAGAGGGGGGUAGAAUUCCACGUGUAGCAGUGAAAUGCGUAGAGAUGUGGAGGAAUACCAAUGGCGAAGGCAGCCCCCUGGACUAAUACUGACGCUCAUGCACGAAAGCGUGGGGAGCAAACA
rnacentral:rRNA from 1 species